UACGUAGGGUGCAAGCGUUGUCCGGAAUUAUUGGGCGUAAAGAGCUCGUAGGCGGUUUGUCGCGUCUGCUGUGAAAACUCGGGGCUUAACCCCGGGUCUGCAUUCGAUACGGGCUAGCUAGAGUGUGGUAGGGGAGAUCGGAAUUCCUGGUGUAGCGGUGAAAUGCGCAGAUAUCAGGAGGAACACCGGUGGCGAAGGCGGGUCUCUGGGCCGAUACUGACGCUGAGGAGCGAAAGCGUGGGGAGCGAACAGG
rnacentral:rRNA from 1 species